CUAAUUUAACCUUGAGCCACAAAUACUUUACCCUUGCAAAAGGUUACUUCAGUAAUUAACAAAUUGAAUUUUUUCACUUGCCAUGUGUUGUUUGCUGAUUCGUCCAUAGAAUAAAUUUGUACUUGCUUUCACUUUUCCCUAUCUCUUUUCUUUUCCUCUUUCUCUUUCCCUCCAUCUUCUCUUUCCUCUUUCUUUUCGUCUUCUGUCUUCUCUGUUUUCUCCACAAACCCUAGCGCAGCCACAAACCCUAGCGAUGCCGUCGACCACUCCAAUCUCAGAAUCUCAUGGUCUUUGUCAUUUGGUUUCUAUCAACUUGGUAGCGACCACCGUUUCUCCAUCUCCGGCCGAUUCGGUUUCAGAGGAUGCUUCAUCUAACCCAUUUUCGUAAUUCUCAUCUCAACCCAUUUUCGUAAACCAUUUUUUAUAGAUUGAAAUGCAAAGACUCUCAAACAGGAAGAAAACUGUGGAAAAAAAGCUGUUGAGGGUCCUAACAUUGGAAGCCCACAAUAUUGAAGAUUUUCUAGAAAAUUUUAAAAAUAAUCCUACUGUCCAAAUUCCUCUGUCCAAAUUCCUCUGGUUUACAAACAACUUUCUGUGCCAUGUGUAUUAGUGAGGGAAUGGAUUGAUGGUAUUAGAUGCACCAAUCCUCAGCAAUUAAAGAAUGUGAUAUUGAUCUAGAUGGAUGAGCUCUUGAAGUUGUAGGCAUUGGCUACACUUGGGAUGAAUUGCUCUGGACUGCUGCAUGGUUGUAUCAAACAUCUAACAAUCAAUAUUACUUGGAUUAGCUCGGUAGAAAUGGUGACUCCAUGGGUGGAACCGGUUGGCAAAUGACUGAAUUUAGUUGGGAUGUAAAGUAUCCUGGUGUUCAGACUUUGGUUUCCAAGUUCCUAUUGCAAGGAAAAGCUGGCAUUCAUACAUCGGUGUUUGAAAGAUAACUGGAAAAGUCGGAGUACUUCAUGUUCAUGCAUGGGAAGGGGUACUCACAAUGUUAAGAGGACACCCGGUGGCCUUAUAUACUGCCAGAGAUGGAACGAUUUACAGUUCACCACAAGUUCCUCCUUUUUAACUAAGUCUAUUCUGACUGCCUCGCUUCUUCUGCUAGGGACUUGAAAUGUGCUUCUAGCUAUGUCGCUCCUUCAUUGCUGCAACUUCACUCCCUCUCUAAUUUAUAGCUUUUCUGUUUUAUAUCUUUUUAUUGUUACUGCCUUUGUUGAUUUUGUUUGAAGGGAGUAAAUGUGAAAUGAACAGAAGGAGUUUAGCAGUUAAAGGAAUUGUCGCAAUUGGAUUUUCA